UUUUGGUUUUAAAUUAAAGCCUCCAAGAAGAGGACUGAACGACACGUGUUUGGUCUGACGUGGAUACUGUAAGAUGCUCUCCUCGGUCACUUCUCCAUGACUCGAAUUCGGCGCUUCUCCACGUUUCCUCGCACAUCACAUGAAGCAGCAGUUCUAAUCUCAGCAAGCUUGGGACAGCUAUAAAGCAGAGACAAACCAAAUAUACUAGGACACGUUGCAUUGUUUUAGCUGGCACGAAACAGACCUACCACUCCUGUCUACUACUACCGCCACGUGACAGUCUAAAUAAAAGGUUUCUUCUCCCCAAACCUGUAAAGUGAAAGAGAUCACCGGCACGACCGGUCUCGAUCGACACGUUAUGCAUGUUUUUCUUUUUGUAAGGGUUAAUGAGAAUACUAGUCAAUAAUUUAUAAAGAUAGUUGGCUAGUUAGGUUGUGAUUUUACAUUCAAUAUUCAAUUAGGAGAUGACUUAAUUAAUUAAAAUACAUUUUUGGACACGUAACCUUAAAAAUUAAUUGUCUUCGAAA